rnacentral:lncRNA from 1 species
GAAGCACAAGACGCUACUAUACAGGGAGUUACGUAGGAGGAGGUAGUGCAGCUAGAGCCCAGAGUGGGGGCCAUCUGGUGGGAUCUGAAACCCCAUAGAGGCUGCCUGAUGGGAGCUGAGAUCAUGGAGGGAGGGCCUGUAGAGUAGAUGUGAGAGCCACCUAAGGACAUAACUGUUGCCAGAGACACUACAGGAAGAAGAGAAAGAGAGAGAGAUACCUUGGCUUCUCUCCACCUCCUCCCUCUCUCCCAGCUUUCCAUUGGCUGAACCAACCUGGAAGCCAGAGAGCAAGGGAGCCUGGGAAACGCAGUUCUCUGUGAUAUAGCACAAAGGCUCAGAAAGGCAGAGAAUUACUCCGAGAGGAAAAGGCAGUUGACCACAGCCGUUUAUUAGUUGUGUGACCUUGAGGAAGUUAGUUAACCUCAGUUGCCUUAGCUUCCUCCUCCAAAAAGUGGAGAUGAAUAAUAGUAGUACUUUCCUCACAAGGCCACUGCGAGGAUUAAAUGCAUUAGUACGUGUUACAUAUUUUGUAUUAUUUAACUUAGUAAGUGUUAUUUAUUAUUAUUGUAUAAAAUGAAGAUAGCAAUACCUAUCUUGCAGAGUACUAUAAGAUGUUUGCCGGCCAGGCGUGGUGGCUCAUGCCUGUAGUCCCAACACUUUGUGAGGUCAAGACAGGAGGAUCACUUGAGGCCAGGAGUUUAAGACUAGCCUGGGCAACACAGUGAGACCCAGUCCCUACAAACAAAUUUAAAACUGGGGCAAGGGGGAGGGUUUCAAAUUUAAAAAAAUUUAAAAUUAGCCUUGGCCGGGCAUGGUGGCUCAUGCCUCCCAGCUACCUGGGAGGCCGAGGCAGGCCAAUCACCUGAGGUCGGAAGUUCGAGACCAGCUUGACCAAUAUGGAGAAACCUCAUCUCUACUAAAACUACAAAAUUAGCUGGGCAUGGUGGUUCAUGGCUGUAAUCUCAGCUACUUGGGAGGCUGAGGCAGGAGAAUCGCUUGAACCCGGGAGGUGGAGGUUGCAGUGAGCUGAGAUCGCACCAUUGCACUCCAGCCUGGGCAACAAGAGUGAAACUCCGUUUCAAAAAAAAAAAAAUCAGCCAUGCAUGGUGAUGCAUGCCUGUAGUCCUAGUUACUCAGGAGGCUGAGAUGGGAGGAUCACUUGGGCCUAGGAGUUCGAGGCUGCUGUGAGCCCUGAUUGCACCACUGCACUCCAUCCUGGCUGCCCAAAAAGAAAGGUUUGCACCGUGUUGUGCACAUAGUACUGGGUACUUCAUAAAUGUUAGUCCCCCUUGUAGCCCAGUGUGCUCACUAAUAUCUGUAGCCGAUAAUAACAAUGGCUUUGACCUGGGGAGGAAGCAGCCUCCCCAGAGUAGGGAGGGACAUUCUUCUUGCAUUACCAGAGAUCUAGGAGGACUCUGGAGGGCUGGGACUUCAGUAGUCCAGGCAGUGCACACCCCUACAUCAGCCAAUAUGAACACACAGAGAUGCAUUUGGAGUAACAUCUGCAUUCUUUUCUGGACCUUCUCUUCUUGAUCCCAUUGGUGUCCCUUCUUUGAUUUUAGCCUGAUUUUUUUUUUUUUUUUUUUGGCUCAUGCUGAUAAUUAUCUGUUUUUGCACUCACUUAUUGCCCCAACUGAUCCUCCCAACAAACCCCCUGAUGCAGCCAGGGAAGCUUCACUAUCCCCAUUGAGCAGUAGCAGAAGCCAACACUUUGAGAGGACACGUGUCUGACCCAAAGGCCCACAGGGAGUAGGCUAAGUAGUCAGGACUUGGGACAAGGCCUUCUCACUCUAGCUCAGGACUCUUCCUGCUAAUAUCCCAGGCUGCCUCCACAGCAUGUGUGAGUUAAUGCACACACACACACUCACACUCACACUAAUACACCCACCCCUAAACACACACAUAAUAGAUUCAAUAUCUCUGAAGGAAGGGUUCAUGCCUUAUCAAUUUCCUGCUACAGAUAAACUACCUGGCAGCUGAAAUAUAAUAAAUGAUUGUGGAAUUGAGUUGACAUUGACUGCUACACUGCACCCCCUUGGGGGACUAACAGGGAGCACACAGAUGAGGACCACAGCCAGAGCCAGAGCCAGAGUCCAAGUCCAUCUUGACAACUCAGAGAAGACUUUGGCCCUUGCUUCUGGCUCUGUCCACGCCCUUCGUAGCACCCACGGAGCAGAGGGGCCUGGUCACAGGGAGAGGCUGAGAUGCCCAGAGAAAUGGAUCUGGCCACCUGAGCUGAGGCUUCUCUGAAGGUGAGUCUUCACCGACCCCGCCCUAGUAGUGGUGAAUCGCGUGUCCUGCCCUGUUCUCUGCUGCCCCUGAGCAGUGUCUGAACCAGGGGCGCCUUUUAACGCCACAGAUUCUGCCUCAGGGCGUGGAACACCUUCUUCUAGAGGGGCGCGUGAGAACUCUGGUAGGCAGGAGCUUGCUCUGAAACUACUGUGCUAGUCAACCAAUUGCCUCAGCUGGCCACCCAGGGCCUGGCAUCCACACUGGUCCCUGGCAAGCCGUUCUGCACAGAGGUUUUCACACACGUGGGUACGGAGCACUGGCAGGAAGUACGAGACAUUAGAAAUUAGAAGCCCAAGCUAAUAACACAGAUCACCAUCGGGGCUUCACUUUUUGCCAGCCACUUCUACGUAAAUAUAUCUGGUUCUACCCUUCACUCAGCCAAGGCAUGGGCGCUACUGGCCUCUGACUCAGCGCUCUUCAUUGGCCUCAGCUGUUAAACUUGCUCCCUUCUGAUAUUUUGCAGAUGCUAAGCACUCAACUGGUUUGUUGUGGCUUUGCAUCGUGCUCUUUCUCAUAAUCCUGAGAUGAGAGGCCACUAUGUCCUCUGGGUCUGCGGGACUUCUGGGGCAAGGGUGCGGGGCAGGCCCAGCACAGGUGUCCAGGGAGCUGCCCACACUGCCGCUGUGUGCUCUUGGGAGUCCUGUUGGCUGUUCCAUUCUCCUCUCUGCCCACAGAGGUCACAGUGCCCUUGCGAGUAAGCAGGAGAAGGCAGAGUCAUGAAUUAGCAACUGGAAAGGAUAAAUGCCAAAGGCCUUGCUAUGAAAUCGAGGACCCCGCACCAGCUGCCCCGAGGUCCCUCUGGCUCAUUUCCUCCUGUUCUCUCCUCACGUCACUCCUCAUUUUUCCUGGAACAUGCCAGGCCCACUCCUGCCCCAGGGCCUUUGCAUCACAUGCCAUCCAGAUAACCUGGUGCUCCCUUCCGGAUUCCUGCUUAGCUUUUUGUUCUAAUGUCUUUUUUCUUUUUAUUUUUUAUUUUUAUUUUUUUGAAUCGUGGUCUUGCUUUGUCACCCAAGCGAGGCUGCAGUGGUGUGAUCAUGGCUCACUGUGGCUUUGAAUUCCUGACCUCAAGUGAUCCUCCAGCCUUAGCCUACCAAAAGCUGGGAUUACAGGCAUAUGCCACGGUGCCCAGCCCUAAUGUUACUUACUCAUUGAGGCCUUCCUUAGCUGCUGUCUCUACAAUUGCAAGCCCCCACCCCUCCCCACCCCCCACCAUCUGCUUUUUCCUUGGUGCCUCUCACCGUCUAUCUUAUCUCGUUAAUGUUUGGUCUCCCCACCUCAGUGUUUUCAUCUGUUUGCCUGCUGCUGCAUCACCAGCACUGCAACAGUGCCUGACACAUAGCAUGUGCUCAGUGAUAUCUGUUAUAUGCAUGAAUGAGUGGGGCUGGACUGUGAGCUGAUGAGGUUCUUGCCAUGGCUAACUCCAGGCAGUCAUGUCAUUUGGCCCAGUUCCACUCCCUUCUGGGCCUGACUCAAUUCAUCUGGGUAAUGAGGAGGGCACAGGAGCUGCUGCGUAAGCUGCCCUCCAGCAGUAAUAAUUGAUGAGUCCAGGCAGUAUCCACUUACCACGCCAAAGAGGUCCAAGCAGCAGGCAACAGGGGAAGGGAGGCAGGAAGCAGCUGCCAGGAUGACUAAUUGGGAUCUCAUGUCAUUGGCUCCACGUGCCAAUCCUUACAGACCUCAGCAAAGCUCAGGACUAUUAGCUCCUGAGACUCAUGCAGUCUCCUGGUCUGACCUGUCCCUCAGUGACACUCGAAAAAUAACUCAGCCAGGCGUGAUGGCACACGUCUCUAUUUCCAGUUACUUGGGAGGCUGAGGUGGGAAGAUCACUUAUGCCCAGGAGGUUGAGGCUGCAGUGAGCCCUGAUCACUCUGCUGCAUUCCAGCCUGGGCAACAGAGCAAGAUUCUGACUCAAAAAAAAGAAGAAAAAGAAAGAAAAAGAAAAAAUAACUAAUAACUUCAUCUUACAGUGGUGACACGGAGACCUGGAGCAGGAAUACAGAGAUGUGCCAAACUUUGUACAGAAAUUUUGCAAAACUAGAUUCAGCUCUCAUUCCACAAAUACCAGGACCUCCCCUGCACCAGGCACUGUUCUAGGCAAGGACAGAGCAAUGAAGAGGGGAAGCUCCUCACCUGUGUUUCCUCGUGAGGCCUGAAGCGCCUGCUUUCCCUUCCACCUCCUGCUCUCCAGCCUCUUAAGUCCCCUCACUCUGUGGUCAAUCUAAUUGGAUAGAACCCUUUCAUCUCAAAACCAAAACAACAGCGACCCAUGCACACUCCUAGUAGACCAAUGGGACUGUAGCACUGAUUUCACCAUAUGCCCCUCCUGCAUCCCAGGGACGUCAACUCUGCACUUCAGUCCAGCUUUCAGGAAACUCCAAAUCUCUCCCCCAUUCCCACCUCUUCCUGUCUAUGGUCCCACUGUGAGCCGAUAGAGUUCUCACCACGGCUGACACCAGGCAGCCAUGUGGUUGGGGCCAGUCCCAUUCCCUUCUGGGCCUGAUUCAGUUCAUCUGGCUAAUGAGGAGGGCACAUGAGCCUUCUGUGCCUGUUGGGCCGGCUGCCUCAGUGACCACUGCCAAUUGUGUGUUCCCCUUAUUCAGCACCUUCAUACCUUCUUCCGGUUUUGCCCAUCUGAGCUGAAUCAAUUCCUCCAUCUUCACAGGGAGGUAGCCUUCUCUCAGUCCCCAAACCCUUGAUAAGGGAACGCACCACCACCUCGCAGGCCUGCCUGACUUGAGUGCAUCACAGUUCUCCACCUAAUUAUUUGUUGUCCCGGAUUGUUUCAUGUAUGUAUGUCUGAUCUCUCCAUAAGACUGUAAACUUACUGAGGGCAGAGAUGACGCUUACCUUUCCAUAUCCUACAUGCUUUAGCCUGGUGCCUACUCACUGGGCAAUCCAUCAGUGAUGAGUUUACCUGGAUUUACUAAUUCGUGAUAUUUACAAAGAAUACAUUUGGGAAAAUGUGUAUUUGUUUACAGAUGUUAAAAGGAAAACGUAAAAUACAAGAUUGUAUGUACAGCUUGAUAAUCACAGUGUCAAUUACGUGUUCAUAUGGGUAAAACUGGAAGGCAAUUGGUAAAAAUAAAGAGUAGUGUGAGGGCUGUUAGAUUAUGAGUGAUUUGUUUAAAUAAUCUGUGAAUAUUGUUACUGCACUGUUUAUGCAUUUGAAAAGCCUUUUUUUUUUAUCCUAACCAGUAGACCACCAGGGAUAAAAUGAUUUUUAAAAAUACAUAGAGGGCUUUAA